UGGUGCAUGGUUGUCGUCAGCUCGUGUCGUGAGAUGUUGGUUAAGUCCCGCAACGAGCGCAACCCUUGAUUUAGUUGCCAGCAUUCAGUUGGGCACUCUAAGGUGACUGCCGGUGACAAACCGGAGGAAGGUGGGGAUGACGUCAAAUCAUCAUGCCCCUUAUGACCUGGGCUACACACGUGCUACAAUGGGCAGAACAAAGGGCAGCGAAGCCGCGAGGCUAAGCCAAUCCCACAAAUCUGUUUUCAGUUCGGAUCGCAGUCUGCAACUCGACUGCGUGAAGCUGGAAUCGCUAGUAAUCGCGGAUCAGCAUGCCGCGGUGAAUACGUUCCCGGGCCUUGUACACACCGCCCGUCACACCACGAGAGUUUGUAACACCCGAAGUCGGUGAGGUAACCUUUUGGAGCCAGCCGCCGAAGGUGGGACAGAUGAUGGGGGUGAAGUCGUAACAAGGUAGCCGAUCGAA
rnacentral:rRNA from 1 species